AUACGGAGGGUGCAAGCGUUAUUCGGAAUCACUGGGCGUAAAGGACGCGUAGGCGGGUUGGCAAGUCAGAUGUGAAAUCCUACAGCUUAACUGUAGAACUGCAUUUGAAACUGCUAACCUAGAGUAUGGGAGGGGGAGAUGGAAUUAGUGGAGUAGGGGUAAAAUCCGUAGAUAUCACUAGGAAUACCGAAAGCGAAGGCGAUCUCCUGGAACAUAACUGACGCUAAGGCGUGAAAGCGUGGGGAGCAAACAGGAUUAGAAACCCUAGUAGUCC
rnacentral:rRNA from 1 species